rnacentral:rRNA from 1 species
UACGAAGGGGGCUAGCGUUGAUCGGAAUUACUGGGCGUAAAGCGCACGUAGGCGGCUUUCUAAGUCGGGGGUGAAAUCCUGGAGCUCAACUCCAGAACUGCCUUCGAUACUGGAGAGCUUGAGUCCGGGAGAGGUGAGUGGAACUGCGAGUGUAGAGGUGAAAUUCGUAGAUAUUCGCAAGAACACCAGUGGCGAAGGCGGCUCACUGGCCCGGUACUGACGCUGAGGUGCGAAAGCGUGGGGAGCAAACAGG